AAGAUACAAACAUAGGUAUGCAGGAACAUUGACGAUAAUGUUUUCACCUGUUGAGGUAAUUGUCUGAUUAAAUUCAAGCUCGGGGAACUGCAAUCCCAAACACUUUUGGAUCUUAUUCAGGUAGUUUGUGUUACUUUCUUAUAUAUGUAUAUUGCAUUCUUAUGAUGCCUGUUCCAUUCUUAAACGGGAACCAACCCAAUCUCCCCCUCCCUGCUUUUUUUGGUGGAUCAUGUUCGGGUAUUUUGCAGUCUUAUGGUGCUGAGUGAUUACAGAAAACUUCUGGAAUAAACUAAACAUUUUCAUGAUUGAUGUUUACUAGGUUCAGGAUGGAACUGCUACUAGAUCUUGCAAGUUUGCAUGGCUCCAUGAAGCAAUAUGCAGGAAUGUAAUUAUUCUCUCACUCACUCUAAUUUCUCUUGUUGUGGCUUCUUUGUUAAGGGUGCUCCUGUAUUUGCUUGGGAAUAUAAAUGCGUGCAGGGUGGUGUACUUUACUAGACGCUCAUUUUGUCACACUCAUACAUACAGCCUAAAUUGUCUAUGAUUCUUCAGAUUGCUUGGUAGCCUUCUGAUAUUAUUGCUUCUGACUUUCCUGGAUAUACUAAGGUGGAAAUCUACUUCAUGCUGGAAAUUCCUUUUGAUUCUUUGCUGGAAAUUCCUACUUUCUUUGAUGUUUUCCUUGUUUGGCAAUCCUUCCAUGGAAUUGACUCGGUGACCCUGUCUUAGUAGACAUAGUUUUCUUUAUCAGAAAACAUUUAUUUUCAAAUGUUGAGAAAGCGUAUUGUGUGAUAAACAUGGAUAAUUUUGGUUU